rnacentral:rRNA from 1 species
AUGGAGAUAUACUCCAAAGAAGAGGAAUUCUGGCGCCACCGCGGAUCCAUUAACUGGGUGCUUUUUGGGGAUGCCAACACUGCAUACUUUCAGGCCAUCGCCAAUGGCCGGAGGCGACGUUGCUCCAUCCCCCUCCUCUGGGAGGGUGGUCAGUUGUUUCAGGAUCCUCAGGAUAUUCGCCUGCUAGUUGACGACUUCUACAAGUCUCUAUUUCAGGGUCGGCAGCGGAAUGGGGUGGCCCUAGCCGACCAUUUCUGG